CCAGAACAAUAAGUCAUCCUCAAGUACCGCUAUUUCUGCACUAUCCAUGACCCUUACCAAAAGAAGAACCCUAAUCCUAACAAUCACACGCACACUCCAAACGUCAGGUACAUGAAUUGGAACCCUAAACCUGAACCUACUCCUAACCCUAACCCUAAAACUAAGGCGCAGGACCAAAUCCCCAUUCCCAGGUGGUUGACAAGUGACCUUAUCCCUCCCCGUCCCACCGAACUUACGCUAAUACUAACUUUCCAACCCACACUGGAAGACACAGGCAUUUC
rnacentral:lncRNA from 1 species